AUUGAACGCUGGCGGCAGGCCUAACACAUGCAAGUCGAGCGGAUGAGAGGAGCUUGCUUCUCGAUUCAGCGGCGGACGGGUGAGUAAUGCCUAGGAAUCUGCCUGAUAGUGGGGGACAACGUUUCGAAAGGAACGCUAAUACCGCAUACGUCCUACGGGAGAAAGCAGGGGACCUUCGGGCCUUGCGCUAUCAGAUGAGCCUGGGUCGGAUUAGCUAGUUGGUGAGGUAAUGGCUCACCAAGGCGACGAUCCGUAACUGAUCUGAGAGGAUGAGCAGUCAAACUGGAACUGAGACACGGUCCGGACUCCUACGGGAGGCAGCAGUGGGGAAUAUUGGACAAUGGGCGAAAGCCUGAUCCAGCCAUGCCGCGUGUGUGAAGAAGGUCUUCGGAUUGUAAAGCACUUUAAGUUGGGAGGAAGGGUUGUAGAUUAAUACUCUGCAAUUUUGACGUUACCGACAGAAUAAGCACCGGCUAACUCUGUGCCAGCCGCCGCCGUAAGAC
rnacentral:rRNA from 1 species